rnacentral:rRNA from 1 species
AUACGUAGGUGACAAGCGUUAUCCGGAUUUACUGGGCGUAAAGGGCGUGUAGGCGGUCUUGCAAGUCAGAAGUGAAAUUCCUGAGCUCAACUCGGGCGCUGCUUCUGAAACUGCAGGACUUGAGUGCUGGAGGGGAUAGCGGAAUUCCUAGUGGAGCGGUAAAAUGCGCAGAUAUUAGGAAGAACACCGGUGGCGAAGGCGGCGAUCUGGACAGGAACGGCCGUGGGGGCGAGAAGGUGUGGGCACGAAACAGGAUUAGAUACCCGGGAAGUCCACGCCGUAAACGAGGAAUACUAGGUGUAGGGGGUAUCGACUCCCUCUGUGCCGCAGUGAACACAAUAAGUAUUCCGCCUGGGGAGUGCGGUCGCAAGGUUGAAACUCAAAGGAAUUGGCGGGG